GAAUUGCCUUCUCUCAUGGUGAAACCUGGAAAACUAUGAGACGGUUCAGCUUGACCACCUUACGAAAUUUUGGAAUGGGUGAGUGGAUCAUAGAAGACACAAUUAUAGAGGAAUGCCAGAAUCUCAUACAGAACUUUGAGUUUCACAGAGCCUUUUGAAAUCAAAACAAUAAUGAAUGCUUCUGUUGCUAAGAUCAUUGUAUUAGUGUUGCUUGGAAAAUGGUUUGACUACAAGACUCCCAGUUCCUGAGACUCUUAGCCUUGACUGGUGAAAAUGUGAAAUUCAUUGGAGGUCUUAGAAUUCUUUUCAAUAUGUUUCUUGUUUUGGGGUUUCUCCUAAAAAGUCAUAAGACCAUACUCAGAAAUAGAGAUGAGUUGUUUUCUUUUAUAAGGAUGGCCUUUCUAGAUCACCAUCAUAAACUUGACAAAAAUGAUCCAAGAAAUUUCACUGAUGUCUUUUUGGUAACACAGCAGGAGCUCAUGUUUUUUUCUUUAGAGGAGAAUGACACAUUUGCUGACUAUUUCAGUGAUAAAAAGUUGGUGACACUUGUUAAUAAUCUGUUCACGACAGGUACAGAGACCACAGCCUCCACAUUGCACUGGGGAAUUUUGCUCGUGAUGAGAUAUCCUGAGGUCCAGAAAAAGGUCCACAAUGAGAUCACCAAAGUUGUGGUAUCGGCCCAAUCUUGACUUGCACACCGAACUCAAAUGACACACACAGAUGCUGUCAUUUAAGAAGUACAAAGAUUUGCUAACAUUCUGCCCACAAGCUUAUCCCAUGCAACAACCACAAAUAUAUUUAAAAAUUACUGCAUUCCAAAGGGCACUGAGGUUAUCAUCUUGCUGGCUUCAGUAGCUCGAGAUCAAGCACAGUGGGAAAAACCAGACACUUUUAAUCCUGAGCAUUUCCUCAACUCUAAGGAAAAGUUUAUCAAGAGAGAAGCGUUCCUGCCCUUUCAGUCGCCGGAUGUGUGCUGGUGAGUCAUUCGCAGGAAGGAGCUUUUCCUGUUUUUCACCAGCCUCCUGCAAAGUUCACCUUCCAGCCACUCCCUGGAGUCUCCCAUCUGGACCUGGACCUAAGCCUGGACGUUGGCUUCACCACUUGACCAGUGCCUCAUAAGACCUACGCUCUGCCCAGGCCUAGGCUCUGCAUAUGCGCCGGAGCCUCAGUUCU
rnacentral:lncRNA from 1 species